UACGUAGGUGGCAAGCGUUGCCCGGAAUUACUGGGUGUAAAGGGAGCGCAGGCGGGGAAACAAGUCAGCUGUGAAAACUACAGGCUUAACUUGUAGACUGCAGUUGAAACUGUUUUUCUUGAGUGAAGUAGAGGUUGGCGGAAUUCCGAGUGUAGCGGUGAAAUGCGUAGAUAUUCGGAUGAACACCGGUGGCGAAGGCGGCCAACUGUGCUUUAACUGACGCUGAGGCUCGAAAGUGUGGGGAGCAAAC
rnacentral:rRNA from 1 species